CACGUAGGGGGCAAGCGUUGUCCGGAUUUAUUGGGCGUAAAGAGCUCGUAGGUGGUUCGGUAAGUCAGGUGUGAAACCUCCAGGCUCAACCUGGAGACGCCACUUGAUACUGCUGUGACUGGAGUCCGGUAGGGGAGCGUGGAAUUCCUGGUGUAGCGGUGAAAUGCGCAGAUAUCAGGAGGAACACCGGUGGCGAAGGCGCACAUCUGGCCCGAUACUGACGCUGAGGCGCGAAAGCUAGGGGAGCAAACGGG
rnacentral:rRNA from 1 species